ACAUGGAUGGCUCAGUCGGUUGAGUGUCUGACUUUGGCUCAGGUCAUGAUCUAAUGGUUUGUGGGUUCAAGCCCCACUUCAGGCU
rnacentral:tRNA from 1 species